rnacentral:lncRNA from 1 species
UCGAUUGUAUAUGAACGAAAUGAUUACAUUCUUAAUCAAUUUUCUCAUGAAAGAAUGUCUAAGUUCUACUUGCCUAGACUUUCUGUUCUACAAUAUUUGUAUGCUCUAUGUAAAGUGGCUUGACUACCGCAAUGUAUUAACACCUCUGAAACAUUGUCUUUAGUCAAUGGAACUUCCAGUAUAAGGUCCCUUAACCCUUUAAUUUCUUCACCAGCGGAAGCAAAAGCCUCGAACUCUGAUUAUAUGGUUAAGAGAAUGAUUC